rnacentral:lncRNA from 1 species
GGGAGGAUAUUCAAUAAAAAAAAUCUGGUCUGCUUCUCUUUCUUCAACACAAGCAGUAUUCUUCCUCCAUGAACACUAGUCCAAAGGUCCCUUCAAAUAUCAUAUAAAUCUCCGUAAGUAUCAUCUCUAAAACCAGCCUUUAACAGUCACGAAGACCACCUGAAAAUACAAGAAAAUAGCCACUAAAACCUCCAAAUACUACCUCAAAUCCCUUCCCAAAUAAAACAACGAAAAUUAGUCAAGACACACCUCACAAAACAACUCCAUAACCACCGAGUGCUAGUAUCGAAAUUUUGGAGCUUCGAGGUUACAUAUUGUUGGUUCUGUUUUGUUGUUCGUGAGGUCCGUCGAGGUUGCCGCCGGCAAAGGUUUAUGGUCAUGGUCUUUGUUCUUGGCUCGAUGGUUGAGUUACAGAAAUGUAAAGUUUGAUCCAGUCAAUAUAAAGGUUCAUUUCUCCAUGUAAUCUCGUGCUCUUUCUUUCUGUUGUUAUGUUAAUUGUGUGAUAUUUUCGUUGAAUUUUUUGUGCUGGAAUUAUAGUUAGUCUUUUCUUUAAUUGAAUGAAUUUUCUUGGUUGAAUACAUUUGUGAUAUAAAUUGAUGAAGUAGUAUAUGUGACUAACAGUGAAUAAUUUGAGAAUUAGACUUAAACUAAAAUUAAAUAAAGUAGACUUAGGGUUAAGUUUA